GCUGGAGUAGCUCAGUUGGUAGAGCACGUCCUUGGUAAGGACGGGGUCCCGGGUUCAAUUCCCGGCUCCAGCU
rnacentral:tRNA from 1 species